rnacentral:rRNA from 1 species
ACGCUCGUCUCAAAGAUUAAGCCAUGCACGUCUAAGUACUCGCCUUGGUCUAUUUAAAGUGAAACCGCGAAUGGCUCAUUAAAUCAGUUAUGGUUCACUAGACCGUACCACAUCCUACUCGGAUAACUGUGGUAAUUCUAGAGCUAAUACAUGCAACUAGGCCCUGCCCGGCCGCCCCGUCCGUCAAAACGACGGUCGGUCGGAAAGGGCGCCAUUAUCAGCUCAAAACCGACCGGGUCCGCCCGCCGUCCUUCUCGGACGGUGAGGCUCCCGUUCUUGUUGACCCUUUGACGACUCUGGAUAACCUCCUAGCGGAUCGCCGGUAAAACAUUAGGUCGGCCGGGCGGCAACGUCCGCGUCCGACCUAACGGCGACUAGUCUUUCGAAUGUCUGCCUUAUCAACUGUCGACGGUAGGUUAGACGCCUACCGUGGUCGUAACGGGUGACGGGGAAUCAGGGUUCGAUUCCGGAGAGGGAGCCUGAGAAACGGCUACCACAUCCAAGGAAGGCAGCAGGCACGCAAAUUACCCAAUCCCCGAACGGGGAGGUAGUGACGAAAAAUAACGAUACGGGACUCUUAACGAGGCCUCGUAAUCGGAAUGAGUCCGCUCUAAAUCCUUUUAACGAGGAUCUAUCGGAGGGCAAGUCUGGUGCCAGCAGCCGCGGUAAUUCCAGCUCCGAUAGCGUAUAUUAAAGUUGCUGCGGUUAAAAAGCUCGUAGUUGGAUUUGGGUUUUCGGGCCGGCGGGCCGCCGCCUUCGAGCGGCGCGUCUCCCGCCGCGCCCCCGGAACCGCACGGUCGCAGAGGCCCCCGCGGUGCUCUUGAGUGAGUGUCCGCCGGUUCGGGUCGCCGAACGUUUACUUUGAAAAAAUUAGAGUGCUCCAGGCAGGCCGGUAAAGCGUUGUUUAAAAAAGACCCGCGCCUGAAUAGUCACGCAUGGAAUAAUGAAAGAGGACCGGUGGUCCUAUUUUGUUGGUUUUCGGGAUUUUCCGCCGUCAUGAUUAAGAGGGACGGCCGGGGGCAUUCGUACCGCGGCGCGAGAGGUGAAAUUCUAGGACCGCCGCGAGACGAACCGUUGCGAAAGCAUUUGCCAAGAAUGUUUUCCUUAAUCAAGAACGAAAGUCAGAGGUUCGAAGGCGAUCAGAUACCGCCCUAGUUCUGACCGUAAACGAUGCCACCUGACGAUCCGCCAGGGUUACUACCAUGACUCGGCGGGCAGCCCCCGGGAAACCCAAGCCUUCGGGUUCCGGGGGAAGUAUGGUUGCAAAGCUGAAACUUAAAGGAAUUGACGGAAGGGCACCACCAGGAGUGGAGCCUGCGGCUUAAUUUGACCCAACACGGGGAACCUCACCCGGCCCGGACACCGCGAGGAUUGACAGAUUGAGAGCUCUUUCUCGAUUCGGUGGGUGGUGGUGCAUGGCCGUUCUUAGUUGGUGGAGCGAUUUGUCUGGUUAAUUCCGAUAACGAACGAGACUCUAGCCGGUUAAGUAGCCCGGAGCGGUUUUUGAUCUUUGCCGUCCGUCCUUUGUCUUUUUCCCGUGUUCGGCCGACCGGUUCGGCGGGACGAGGGAAGGCGGGGUGCGGAGAGGGGGUCAUCCGCAGGCCGUUCGCGGUCUCGCGGGGAAACCUUUUUUUUUCGUCAUCCUCGUCCUUCUCGCCGUCUUUGCCGUUUCCCGAGCGGUCGAGACGGAAAGGGAAGCUUAGGCGGAAGCAUAACCGAAGGCCGCCGGCUUUUACAGGAAGCUUCUUAGAGGGACGAGCGGCGUUCAGCCGCCCGAGAUUGAGCGAUAACAGGUCUGUGAUGCCCUUAGAUGUCCGGGGCCGCACGCGCGCUACACUGAAGGGCUCAGCGUGCUCGUUUCUCCCGAGCCGACAGGCUCGGGGAACCCGUUGAAACCCUUUCGUGCUAGGGACAGGGACUUGCAAUUGUGUCCCUCCAACGAGGAAUUCCCAGUAAGCGCGAGUCAUCAGCUCGCGUUGAUUACGUCCCUGCCCUUUGUACACACCGCCCGUCGCUACUACCGAUUGAACGAUUUAGUGAGGUCUUCGGACCGGUGGCCGUUCCGAGCCGUCGCUACCUUCCGGGGUCGGCGGUUUUUCGGGGUCGGCCGGCCGGGAAGAUGCCCGAACUUGAUCGUUUAGAGGAAGU